rnacentral:lncRNA from 1 species
GGUGGUGGUGGUGAGGGGAGGGGAGAGGAGAGAGAUGGUCCGUGGAGGCGUUGAGUUCGGAGGUGGUGUGUGGUGAUGUGGAGGGCGGGGCAUAUAAAGCGGGCCGAGGCGAUGGCGUCCCUCCCACUGCACUGCAAGAAACGGACGGACGGUGUGGGAGCAGCAGAGCAGAGGAGUGUAGCGUGAAGCGUGAACAAGGAAGGGGUGGUGGCAUGGCAUGGCCCCAACUCUCGUUUUGGCGCUACCCCCCAUGCCUGGCCAUGUGCGAGAGCGAGAGCACCGCCGUCCCCUCCCUUGCCGCUCACGGCUCCGAGGCCCUCCUUUCCGUCCGCCACGCCCACGCUAGCUCCGCCACCGCCGUUGGCCGCCCUCCCUCGCUGCUUUUGUUGCCUUCAGGUCUCGAUUCGAAGCCUGCCUGACCACCCACAACUCGCCGUGGGAAUACCAGGUGCACGAGGGCCAACGGAAUGCUCGGCUCGACAACUGGCCUCAGCUCGCCGCCGCCGUCGUCUUCCUUCUUCCUUUUUGCAGUUCGUUAACGCCGGCGUUCCUUGUGCCUCUCCUCGCACGCACGCACUCGCAACGUGCUGCUGGCCGGAAACCCGCGGCACGUUGGUUGGUUGGUUCGUCGCACCUGGACUGGACUGGACUGGACGGACGGACGGCUACAUUAACGGCACGGCCAUCGUUUGUUUGUUUUGUCAGUUUACCCGUGCACCGGCACCGCUGCCGCCCCGACACAUCACCGGGGGAACCAACGGCGGGAAUCGCUCCCCUCCUCCACCUCCAUACUUCUACUGCCAGCUAUACUAGAGUACACCUACCUAGCUACAGUGCGUGGCGAGGUACUGGACUGGACUGUGGGCCUCGGUCGUAGUACAUGCGAUGCGGUGAAGAAGAGAAGAGAAGAUGGAUCUCUCGCGACGCCGCCACGCAGCGGGGCGUCGUGGCGCGCGGCCAGUUGAGGGAGGGGAGGGGAGAUCCAGGCGCUUGUCAGAACGCGAGCGCCCUCUCCCGUGAUGGCAGCCACAGAUUCAUUCCAGCUGCGUGCGUGCGUGCUGCUCCGUCACGCAGUGCCGCGCGUGUGUCUUCAGUUUUUUCUCCUUAAGGGCAGGGCAUCGUAUGAUCAUCGUUGGUAAAAUUAUUACAUAGAUGAUUUUGAUGACAUGUCACAUAAUAAAAAAAGAAAGAGAAUGAAACCGUAUCAACUUGAAGCAACGGUUCAUGCACAAGCUACUAGGUUAUUUCUUCAACAUUUAGUGGACCCACUUUGUUAUUUUACAUACGGUUAACAUACACUUUGUUGAAGGACUUUGCUGUUGGUUGCUGAUGUGGACACUUAUACUAAGGAUUGAACAUACGAACUGUUGGAGAUGCUCUAAACAAUGUAUACACGUUCCUAUACUCAUCUCACCUCUAUCAAAUAUACUCAUCUCAUCUCUACGAAUACAUUUGUAUGAAUAUAAGGACACGUCCUAUCCUUCUGAGUAUCUUUGAGAGGUUUAUAAUCAGCUCAUUAUAUUAAGAUUGAGAAAGUCAACACAUUAUUAUAUUAUAAAAUUUAAUAAGUUGGUACAUCAUCUUGACAUUGAUAAAUUAACACAUAUGUCUUGGUUGUCGACGAAAAUAUUUCCUCCCACUUAAUCGACACACGAUCUUGAGAUUUGACAAAGCCGACAAAUCAUCUUUAGAUUGAUAAUAUCGUUUGUUGACACUUUCUUAGUCGACGGAAACAUCUCCGUUUAUUGAAUGAACAUUGUCAAGAAGCCUCAGAUAAAUUCAAAAGAUAUGAGCAUGGGUGUUAAGUAUAAGACUUAAAUUCGAUGGAUGGUUCCAACACAAUUAACCUAACCAUCUGAGCUACAAUACUCAUUUCACGUGUGUCUUCACGUCUGGAACCCUGUUUCGUUAUAUGUAAUCGUGGAUACGAUGGAUAUUCCCCUAGCACUCGAGGCCUAGGGUUCCCCUGUCCUCCUGGAAUCGUCGCCGGGGAUUUUCCCGUAGAUCCAAUCGCUCUGCCUGACGAUCAGUCUUGCUCCUGUGCUUCUCACGAUGUCCUAGGGGGGUGGCUCUCCUCUCUCUCCCGGACUCGCUACUGUUUGGUAGAGGGGCUAGGGUUAGCGGAGGGGUUUUCGGUUGUGACCGCGGCAAUGGCGGCUGAAGCGAGUGGAUCACGUGCAAAGGGUGUGGAAGAUCCGGGUGUGUUGCUAGAACGCCUGCAUCUGGAGGAGGAUGAGCGGGAUGACCUUGUCUGGGAGGAUGAGGAGGAAGAUCCAGAUGAGAAACCGAAGUGGCUUGCGCUGGCUAGGGUUCUGACCAACAAGUCUUUCGAGCAAGGGGCCUUGAUUGAUGAUAUGAAAGCGGCAUGGAAUCUAGCAAGGGAUGUGGUAUGGAGAAGGAUAAACUCCAACCUGUUCUCGGUGCAAUCAAUUGUCUGGCAGAUUGGAAUAAGGCGUUGCACCAGGGCCCUGGGACUUCAAGGGGAUGGCUUUGAUCAUAGCGGAAUAUGAUGGUUUCAAGAACCCGGAAUCUGUCAAAUUGGACAAGAUUGAAACUUGGUGUCAGAUCCAUAGGUUGACUAAUAUGAUCCUCAAGAGGGAACAAUUUGUGAGAAAUAUGGCACAACUCAUAGGAGAGGUCAUGAAGGUAUAGAUCGUCCUUCCUAAUGGCUUCAUUGGUGAAUUCAUCAGAGUCACGGUAAAACUUGAUAUGUCCAAGAAACUGACGAGGUUUGUGGGAUUCACAAAAGCGGGUGUGACUGAGUACUAUCAAGUUAAGUUUGGAAAGCUUCCUGUUUUCUGUUUUAUGUGUGGCCUUCUUGGACAUUGGCAUGAGGAAUGUGGCUCGGGAGAGCAUGAUAAGAAGGAUAUGGAGUGGGGCUCCUUUAUUUUGGCAUCCUUGAGAGGUGCGGGUGGAAUAAGGAACUCAGUUAGAGGCAAUUGUUGUGGUUCGGGUCGUGGCUCGGGCGCUGGUGAUGAGGAUGAUGAGGCUGCUGCUGGUGGAAGGAGGGGAGGUCCUGCAAGAACUCGUGGUCGUGGCCUUGGGCAUGUGAGGGACUCUCAAGCUCGGGACUCCCGAGAUCAAUAAGACUGAUGCGGAGCACAUGCAUACUAGCUGGUGUUUCAAAGCAUCUAAUGCACUGUGUGAUCCAGGGGUGGGGAUGAACUCUCGCCUUGAUGGUUCCCCAUAGGAGAUGUGGGAUGACGCACUGAUUGUUCGUAAGAGAGAGCGAGAUGAUUCCCAUACGGUCCCAAAACUAGUUGUAGAGGAGGAUGUGCAAGUAGCUGAAGGUGCCAUUGCUCCCGUAGGGAUUACAACGAAUAGGGUGGACCAGUUUGAGGGCUCGGAUCCACCCAGCAGCUCAGAGAUUGGUACCCCUCAGAAGAAUGUGAAUCGGAAGAAGUUUAAGACGGAUGAUGGUGUGGCCAUUGACAGUACAUCAACUAGUAGAUCGGCGGCCUCCUCGGUGGAGGACCGCCGGAAGCAAUGAAUCUACUAAGUUGGAACCGGGGAGAGGGGGGGGGGGGUUCCCGAACAGUUCUGAUCUUGCGACUUUGGUCAAGUCGCAUUCCCCUCUCUCGUCUUCCUGUGUGAGACUAUACAGUUAGCUAGCAAGAUGAAGGGAUAUUGUUCUAGAUUGGGUUUGAAGGCCUUUGAUGGUGUUGGUGCUAAUGGAAAUAGUGGAGGCUUGGCACUGUAUUGGCAUGAGAAUUUGAAUGUGUAGGUAAAUUUCUCAAAUGCCCGUUGUAUUGAUGCACAUGUACAAGCCAGGCCGGAUGAACAAUCGUGGAGAUUGACUUGUGUGUAUGGUGAACCGAGGGUGAAGGACCGUCAUCUUAUGUGGUCUCUCAUGUCGAACCUUUGUGCAAAUUCAGAUUUACCAUGGUUGGUGGUGGGCGAUUUGAAUGAAUGCAUGUGGGAUUUCGAGCACUUCUCCUUAACAGUGAGAGCACCAUUACAGAUGCAAUCAUUACAAGAUGUCCUGGAGGUGUGCGACUUGGCUGAUCUUGGGUUCAGUGGAGUUCCCUAUACAUUCGAUAAUAAAAGAAGCGGGAAUGCAAACGUAAAAGUUUGUCUAGACAGGGCAGUGGCAAAUCCGGCUUGGAGGAACAUCUUUUUCAAUGCAAUGGUACGCCACCUUACUUCCCCCUGCUCGGAUCAUCUACCUGUUCAUGUGUGUUGUGAUUAUGUUGAUGAUAGACCAGGAAAGCCAAAGCGUAGGCAGUAUGAGAUCAUGUGGGAAAGAGAUCGAGCUCUCCAGGAGCUGAUUGCUAAGGCAUGGCUGGAGGCAGGAGAAAAGACAUCCCUGGGUGACGUGCAUGCGGCUCUAAGGGGUACUAUGCAAAAGCUGUGCAAAUGGAGUAAGGAAAACUUUGACAGUGUAACUCUAGAAAUUGAAAAAUCACGGACACAAUUGGAGGAACUCAUGUUGAUGAAUGCUGAUAGAUGUGAGAGCCAGAAGGUAAGAGAUAAAAUGAACAAGCUACUAUAUAGAGAAGAGUUAAUGUGGAUGCAACGUUCCCGUAUCACUUGGCUCAAGGAAGGGGACUGAAAUACAUUUUUUUUCCCGUCAAAGGCUGUGUGGAGGGCUAGGAAGAAUCAUAUCAAAAAACUCAAAGACUCAAGUUGUCGGGUUUUUACAAGUGAUGAAGCGAUGGGGCGAGCAGCCAUGGACUAUUUUAAAAACAUCUUCUGUGCUGUCCUUUCGGUGGAUCCAAGCCCCAUUGUUAAUCUAGUAGAAGCUGUUAUAGAUGAUAAUAUAAAUGCCUUAUUGUGCACUGAUUUUACUGAUAAGGACAUUUCAGACGCUUUCUUUCAUAUCGGGCCUCUUAAGGCACCGGGCCCGAACGGUUUUCCUGCGCGGUUCUUUUAGAGGAAUUGGGGCACUAUUAAGGAGAGUAUUGUGGCGACAGUCCAGGAGUUUCUUCGGACAGGGGUAAUGCCGGUAGAGGUCAAAAGUACUAAUAUAGUGCUGAUCAUGAAAAUUCAGAACCCUGUUAAUAUUACAUAUUUCCGUCCAAUUAGCCUCUGUAAUGUUAUUUAUAAGGUGGUUUCUAAGUGACUUGUUAACCGCUUGAGGCCGAUGUUGGAUGGGAUUAUUUCUCCAACGCAAAGUGCUUUUAUUCUUGGGUGAAUGAUCACUGAUAACUCUUUGAUUGCUUUUGAGUCUAUUCACCAAAUUAAGCAGGAAAAGGACUCCACAAGGACUUUAUGUGCCUACAAGCUAGAUCUAUCCAAAGCUUAUGAUAGAGUUGAUUGUAAUUACCUUAAGCAAAUGAUGCAAAAGCUUGGCUUCGCUCAUCAGUGGGUUGACUGGAUUAUGUCGUGUGUAACCUCGAUGAGAUAUUCAGUAAAAUUCAAUGGAGCCAUCUCAGAUUCAUUUGCACCGUCAUGUGGACUACAACAAGGUGAUCCAUUAUCAGCAUACUUAUUUCUGUUUGUGGUGAUGGUCUCUCUAUUGUGUUCAACAAGGGUACAGAUUCAACUGAUUUGUCCCCGUUGAAGAUAACUCGACGAGCUCCUGAAAUAUCACUUCUCCUAUUCGUAGAUUACACUCUUUUAUUUUUUUAAGGCCACUGGGCAGCAGGCGAAUACUGUCAAGAAAAUUCUCAAGACUUAUGAGCAAGCUAGUGGUCAAUUGUUGAAUCCGGCAAAGUCCUCUAUUCUUUUUGGAGAAUCUUUUCCGGAGGCUACUAUAGCUGAAGUCAAGGCGUCUUGGGGUGAUCAGUUCUGGAGUUGAGGAGAAGUACUUGGGCGUACCCACUCCGGAUGGCCGGCUUACUAAGGGCAAGCUUCAAAAUCUACAAGAAAAGGUCAGUAAGAGAUUGUCUCCUUUUGAUGGGCACCCAACACAGUCUCGGAAGGAAACUCUCAUAAAGUCUCUAGCCCAAGCAAUCCCUAUCUUCAUUAGGAGUGUGUUCAAGAUACCGCUCAGAGUGUGUGAUGAUUUGAACCGCAUGAUCCGGAAUUAUUUUUGGGGCUCGGAUAAAGGGAAGUGGAAAACUCAUUGGUUUGCUUGGGAGAAACUUUUGCGAGCAAAAGCACAAGGAGGGCUUGGGUCUAGGGAUUUUAGAAUUUUCAACCAAGCAUUGCUUUAAAGGCAAGCUUGGCGUCUCCUAAUUCAUCCUAACAGUCUUUGUGCAAGGUUACUUAAGGCUAAAUAUUAUCCAAAUGGGCGGUUGAAGGACACAGUAUUUUCAAGUAACCCCUCUCAGUCUUGGCAAGGGGUCUGUCAUGGUCUUGAACUUUUGAAGAAAGGGCUUGUGUGGCGCAUAGCAAACAGGCAAAAUGUGAGAAUUGUUGGGGAACGCCGCAUGGGAAACAAAAAAUUUUCUACGCACAUGAAGUCCUAUCAUGGUGAUGAUCAUCUACGAGUGGGAGAACGGAUCUACAUACCCUUUGUAGAUGCAUAGCGGGAAGAGUUUAGAUAACGCGUUUGAUGUAGUGGUACGUCUUCACGAUCCCAAGAACCGUCCCACGAUCCAUCCCGCGAACAGUCCCACGAUCCGUCCCGAUCAAGUACCGAACGGACGACACCUCUGCGUUCAGCACACGUACAGCUCGAUGACGAUCUCCGCUUUCUUGAUCCAGCAAGAGAGACGGGGAGGUAGAUGAGUUCACCGGCAGCCUAACGGUGCUCCGGUGGUGGUGGUGUUGCUGAUCCUGCAGGGCUUCGCCUAAGCUCCGCAGAAAACCGAUCUAGAGGAGAAACAGAGAAGUAGAGGUGUCUAGAUCUGAAUUUUCCCUUGGCAAAAGUUGUCUCAAAUCAGCCCUAGACCACCCGUAUAUAAAGAAGGAGGGGAGGGGAGGAGGCAGCCUCAAACCCUCAAGGUUUGGCCGAAACUGGAGGUGGAGGAGUCCUACUCCAAUCCUACUUGGAGUAGGAUUCCUCCUUUCCACUUGGAACCCCUUUCCACCUUUUCCACCUUUGGGUUUUGCCUCUCAAACCUUAUGGGCCUUAGUGGGAACUUAUUCCAGCCCACCAGGGGCUGGUUUUAUCUCUUCCCACGCCCAUGAGGCCCCUUGGGGCGUGACACUGACGUCAGCUGUGCUUCCCUGGCAAUGGCUCCAGAAAAGGGCUGAUCCUGCAAUCUCUGGCGUUAGCUAGAUGAAUGCUUAUGACAACGAACCUUCUCCUGCAACGGCAUCAGAAUAAUGCUGCUAGCACUCCCCGGCAAUGAAACUGGAAGAUUAUUGUUGAUGGCCCACCAGCGCGUGGGUCCGCAGCAGUUUUUGAGGGUAGAGUAUUCGACCCAAUUUGUAGAUCGCCAGUCAGGAGGUGAGAGUAUACUCUCAAGUAUUAGCAGCUGAAUUUUUCAGAUUCAACCACACCUGAAAGAUUAGUAUCUGCAAGCACAAUAGUAACAGCAAAGUAAUAUGAUAACAACGGUGUCAGAAACGAUCUGUUGACAGCAUACUAUUCCUAACGAUUGUAUCAAUGGCGCCUCUGUUGUCGCGUUGACGGAAGUUGUCAAUUCCUGUCAAUGGCCAGCGAACAAACAGUGUAACGGGUAGUAGCAGUGUAACGAGCAAUAGUAGCGGCAAGGAACAACAGUAGUAACAGCAGCAGAGCAAGACAAGUAACAGCAGUAGCAACAGUAGUAGUAGCAGCAGAGCAAGACAAGUAACAACAGUAGCAAUAGUAGUAGCAGAAGUAGAGCAAGACAAGUAACAGCAGUAGGACAAACUCGUAGGCAAUGGGUCAGUGAUUUGUUUGGAUGAUAUUCAUCAUGCAACAGCUAUAACACGGAGAGAUAUGUGGCUAGCUCCCGUUCGUCAAUGUGAUGUAGGCAUGCAUUCCGUGUGUCGUCAUACGUGCUUAGGGAAAAGAACUUGCAUGACAUCUAUUAUCCAUCCCUCCCGUGGCAGCGGGGUCCAAAAGAAAACUACAGGAUAUUAAGGUUCUCCUUUUAAUAAAGAACUGGACCAACGCAUUAGCACUUGGUGAACACAUGAACUCCUCAAACUAUGAUCAUCACCGGGAGUGGUUCUGGUUAUUGUCACUCCGGGGUUGCCGUAUCAUAACACAUAGUAGGUAACUACAACUUGCAAGAUCGGAUCUAAAACACACAUAUAUUGGUGACAACAUAAUAAUUUCAGAUCUGAAAUCAUGGCACUCGGGCCCUAGUGACAAGUAUUAAGCAUGGCAAAGUAGUAGCAACAUCAAAUCUCAUAACAUAGUGGAUACUAGGGAUCAAUCCCCAUCAAUACUAACUCGAUUACAUAUAGAUCUCAUCCUACUCAUCACCGCCCAGCGAUCCUACGAAUAGAUUACUCACGAACGACGAAGAGCUUCAUGGAAUUGGAGAGGGAAGAAGGUUGAUGAUGACGAUGGUGACGAUUUCCCCUCUCCGGAGCUCAAGACGGACUCCAGAUCUGCCCUCCAGAUGAAGAACAGGUGGUGGCGGCGCCUCCGUAUCAAAAACACGGCGAAAACUUCUAUUUUUAUUUUUUCUGGGACGAAAGACAACUUAUAGAGCUGGAGUUGGGGGCGGCAGGUGCCUGUGGGCCCCACAAGCCUGCCCACCGCCACCAGGGGGGGUGGUGGCGGCGCAGGGGCUUGUGGCCCACUGGUCCACCCCCUGAGGUGGAACUUGGCGCAGAUAUUUUUGAUAUUUUCCAAAACUGCUCCCCGUAAAUUUUCAGGACGUUUGGAGAACUUUGAUUUCUGCACAAAAAUAACACCAAGGCAAUUCUGCUGAAAACAGCGUCACUCCAUGUUAGUUCCAUUCAAAUCAUGCAAAUUAUAGUCCAAAACAAGGGCAAAAGAGUUUGGAAAAGUAGAUACGUUGGAGACGUAUUAGACACCCCUCCCGAUGGUCCCCGACACCCCUCCCGGCACUCCUGGUACACUACCGAUGAGCCCGAAACUUUUCCGGUGACCAAAACAGGACUUCCUAUAUAUCAAUCUUCAUUUCCGGACCAUUCCGGAACUCCUCGUGAUGUCCCGGAUCUCAUCCGGGACUCUGAACAAACUUCGGUCACCAGCACCUAUAACUCAACUAUACCGAAAUGUCACCGAACCUUAAGUGUGCAGACCUUGCGGGUUCGGGAACUAUGUAGACAUGACCUGAGACACCUCUCAGUCAAUAUCCAAUAGCGGGACCUGGAUGCCCAUAUUGGAUCCCACAUAUUCCACGAUAAUCUUAUCGGUUGAACCUCUGUGUCAAGUAUUCAUAUAAUCCCGUACAUCAUUCCCUUUUUCCUUCGGUAUGUUACUUGCCCGAGAUUCGAUCGUCGGUAUCCAAUACCUAUUUCAAUCUCGUUAUCGGCAAUUCUCUUUACUCGUUCCAUAAUACAAGAUCCCGUGGCUAACAACUUAGUCACAUUGCUUGCAAGGCUUGUUUGUGAUGUUGUAUUACCGAGUGGGCCCCGAGAUACCUCCCCGUCACACGGAGUGAAAAAUCCCAGUAUUGAUCCAUGAUAACUCAACUGACAUCUUCGGAGAUACUUGUAGUGCACCUUUAUAAUCACCCAGUUACGUUGUGAUGUUUGAUACACACAAAGUAUUCCUCCGAUGUCAGUGGAUUACAUGAUCUCAUGGUCAUAGGAAUAUAUACUUGACNNNNNNNNNNNNNNNNNNNNNNNNNNNNNNNNNNNNNNNNNNNNNNNNNNNNNNNNNNNNNNNNNNNNNNNNNNNNNNNNNNNNNNNNNNNNNNNNNNNNNNNNNNNNNNNNNNNNNNNNNNNNNNNNNNNNNNNNNNNNNNNNNNNNNNNNNNNNNNNNNNNNNNNNNNNNNNNNNNNNNNNNNNNNNNNNNNNNNNNNNNNNNNNNNNNNNNNNNNNNNNNNNNNNNNNNNNNNNNNNNNNNNNNNNNNNNNNNNNNNNNNNNNNNNNNNNNNNNNNNNNNNNNNNNNNNNNNNNNNNNNNNNNNNNNNNNNNNNNNNNNNNNNNNNNNNNNNNNNNNNNNNNNNNNNNNNNNNNNNNNNNNNNNAUACAAUUAUAGCAUGGACAAUAAACGAUUAUCUUGAACAAGGAAAUAUAAUAAUAACUAAUUUAUUAUUGCCUCUAGGGCAUAUUUCCAACAGUCUCCCACUUCCACUAGAGUCAAUAAUCUAGUUCACAUCACUAUGUGAUUUCUAACGAAUCCAACACCCUUACAGUUCUGGGGUUUGAUCACGUCUUGCUCGUGAGAGAGGUUUUAGUCAACGGUUCUGAACCUUUCAGAUCCGAGUGAGCUUUCAAAUCUUUAUGUCAUCUUAUAGAUGUUGCUACUACGUGCUAUUCGGAAAUAUUCCAAAUAUCCACUCUACUAUACGAAUCCGUUUUACUACUCGUAGUUAUUCGGAUUAGUGUCAAAGCUUGCAUCGACGUAACCUUUUAUGACGAACUCUUUUAACACCUCCAUAAUCGAGAAAAAUUCCUUAGUCCACUAGUUACUAAGGAUAAAUUUUUGACCAUUGUCGAGUAAUCCACUCGUGAAUUACUUUCGUACCCCAUGACAGAUUCAUGGUAGGGCACACAUUAGGUGUGGUACACAGCAUAGCAUACUAUAGAGCCUACGUCUAAAGCAUAGGGGAUGACCUUCGUCCUUUCUCUUUCUUCUGCCGUGGUCGGGCUUUGAGUCUUACUCAAAUUCACACCUUACAACACAGCUAAGAACUCCUUCUUUGCUGAUCUAUUUUGAACUUCUCCAAAAACUUGUCAAGGCGUGCAUUUCAUUGAAAUUUUUAUCAAGCGUCUUGAUCUACCUCUAUAGAUCUUGAUGCUUAAUGUUCAAGUAGCUUAAUCCAGGUUUUCUUUCUAAAAACUCCUUUCAAAACAACCCUAUAUGCUUUCCAGAAAUUCUACAUCAUUUCCGAUCAACAAUAUGUCAACCACAUAUACUCAUCACAAACUUUGUAGUGCUCCCACUCACUUCUUUGGAAAUACAAGUUUCACAUAAACUUCGUAUAAACCCAAAAGCUUUGAUCAUCUCAUCAAAGCGCUUGUUCCAACUCCGAGAUGCUUACUCCAGUCCUUAGAAGGAUCGCUGAAGCUUGCAUACUUGUUAGCAUCCUUAGGAUCGACAAAACCUUCUGGUUGUAUCACAUACAACCUUUCCUCAAGGAAACCGUCAAGGAAACAAUGUUUUGACAUCCAUCUGCAAGAUGCAGCAACUGCUAACAUAGUUCUAACAGACUUUCAGCAUCACUACGAGUGAGAAAGUCUCAUCGUAGUCAACUCCUUGAACUUGUCGGAAACUUCUUUGCGACAAGUGAAGCUUCCUCAUUGGUGACUUUUCACCAUCAUCGUAUGUCUUCCUUUCAAAGAUCCAUCUGUACUCAAUAGUCUCACGACCAUCAAGUAGUUCUUCCAAAGUCCACACCUUGGUUUCAUACAUGGAUCCUCUCUCGGAUUUCAUGGCCUAUAGCCAUUUGUCGGAAUUCGGGCCCACCAUCGCUUCUCCAUAGCUCGUAGGUUCAUUGUUGUUCAACAACAUGACCUCCAAGACAGGUUUAUAGUACCACUCUGUAGCAGUACUCGACCUUGUCGACCUACGAGGUUUGUAGUAACUUGAUCCGAUGCUUAAUGAUCACUCUCAUCAGCUUCCACUUCAAUUGGUGUAGGCACCACAGGAACAACUUCCUGCGCCCUGCUACACACUGGUUGAAGUGAUGGUUCAGUAACCUCAUCAAGUUCCUCCACCCUCCCACUCAAUUCUUUUGAGAGAAACUUUUCCUCGAGAAAGGAACCGUUUCUAGAAACAAACACUUUGCUUCUGGAUCUGAGAUAGGAGAUGUAUCCAACGAUUUUGGAUAUCCGAUGAAGAUGCAUUUAUCUGCUUUGGGUUCGAGCUUAUCAGACUGAAACUUUUCACAUAAAUUUCGCAGCCCCAAACUUUUAAGAAACGACAGCUUAGGUUUCUCCAAACCAUAGUUCAUACGGUGUCAUAUCAAGGGAAAUAGGUGGUGACCUAUUUAAAGUGAAUGCGGUUGUCUCUAAUGCAUAACCCAUAAACGAUAGUGGUAAUUCCAUAAGAGACAUCAUAGUAUGCACCAUAUCUAAUAGGGUGCAGCUACGACGUUCGGACACACCAUCACACCAUAGUGUUCCAGGCGGCAUUAUGUGUGAAACAAUUUUCACAUUGUCUUAAAUGUAUACCAAACUCGUAACUCAGAUAUUCAUCUCUAUGAUCAUAUCGUAGACAUGUUAUCCUCAUGUUACGAUGAUCUUCAACUUCACUCUGAAACUUCUUGAACCUUUCAAUAAUUCAGACAUGUGUUUCAUCAAGCAAAUACGGUAGUAUCCACUCAAAUCUUCUGUGAAGUAAGAACAUAACGAUAUCCACUGCGUGCCUUAGCACUCAUUGGACUGGAUACAUCAAAUGUAUUACUUCCAAUAAGUUACUCUCUUGUUCCAUCUUAAUGGAAAACGAGGCCUUAAGUCAUCUUACCCAUGUGGCAUGAUUUGCAUGUCUCAAGUGAUUCAAAAUCAAGUGAGUCCAAACGAUCCAUCUGCAUGGAGUUUCUUCAUGCGUUUAUACCAAUAGGUAUGGUUUGCAUGUCUCAAACGUUUCAAAAAUGAGUGAGUACAAAGAUCCAUCAGCAUGGAGCUUAUUCAUGCAUUUUAUACCAACAUGACUCAAGUGGCAGUGCCACAAGUAAGUGGUACUAUCAUUACUACUUUGCAUCUUUUGGCAUCAAUAUUAUGAACAUGUGUAUCAUUACGAUCAAGAUUCAAUGAACCGUUUACAUCGGUGUAUGACCAUUGAAGGUAUUAUUCAUGUAAACAGAAUAAAUUUUAUUCUUGGACUUAAAUGAAUAACCGUAUUGCAGUAAACAUGAUCUAACCAUGUUCAUGCUCAACGCAAACACCAAAUAACAAUUAUUUAGGUUCAACACUAAUCCCGAUGGUAGAAGGAGCGUGCGAUGUUGAACAUAUCAACCUUGGAAACACUUUCAACACAUCGUCACCUCGCCUUUAGCUAGUCUCCGUUUAUUCCGUAGCUUUUCAUUUCGAGUUACUAACACUUAGCAACCGAACCGGUAUCUAAUACCCUCGUGCUACUAGGAGUACUAGUAAAGUACACAUCAAUAUCAUGUAUAUCCAAUAUACGUCUGUCGACUUUGCCAGCCUUCUCAUCUACCAAGUAUCUAGGGUAGUUCCGCUUCAGUGACUGUUCCCCUUAUAAUAGAAGCACUCAGUCUCGGGUUUGGGUUCAACCUUGGGUUUCUUCACUAGAGCAGCAACUGGUUUGCCAUUUCAUGAAGUAAUUCCUUCUUGCUCUUGCCCUUCUUGAAACUAGUGGUUUUACUAACCAUCAACAAUUGAUGCUCCAAUAUGAUUUCUACUUUCGCGGUGUCGAACAUCGCAAAUAGCUCAAGGAUCAUCAUAUCUAUCCUUGAUCUGUUAUAGUUCAUCACUAAGCUCUAGUAGCUUGGUGGCAGUGACUUUGGAGAACUAUGUCAGUCACUAUCUUAUCUGGAAGAUCAACUCCCACUCGAUUCAAGUAAUUGUAGCACUCAGGCGAUCUGAGCACAUGCUCAACAAUUGAGCUUUUCUCCCUUACUUUGUAGACAAAGAAUCUUGUCGAAGGUCUUAUACCUAUCAACAAGGGCACGAGCAUGAAAUCCCAAUUUCAUCUCUUGGAACAUCUCAUAUGUUCUAUGACGUUCAGAACGUCUUUGGCUCCAUAAUUCUAAGCCGUUUAAGCAUUAAGCACUGAACUAUCACGUUGUCAUCAAGAACGUGUAUGUCAGAUGUUCGCAACAUCCACAGACGACGCUCGAGGUUCAGCAUACCGAGUGGUGCAUUAAGGACAUAAGCUUUCUGCGCAGCAAUGAGGACAAUCCUCAGUUUACGAACCCAGUCCGCAUAAUUGGUACUAUCAUCUUUCAACCAAAUUUUCUCUAGGAACAUAUCAACAACAGUAGACCUACAGCGCAAGCUACAACAUAAUUUGCAAAUGCCUUUUGACUACGUUCAUGAUAAUUUUAGUUAAUCAUAUUACUAAUAAACUCCCACUCAAAUAGACAUCUCUCUAGUUAUUCGAGUGGCGCAUGAUCCAAAUUCACUAACUCAAGUCCGAUCAUCAUGUGAGUUGAGUUUAGCUUCAAUGGUGAACAUCUCCAUGUUGAUCAUAUCAACCGUAUGAUUCAUGCUCGACCUUUCGGUCUCCAGUGUUUCGAGGCCAUGUCUGUACAUGCUAGGCUCGUCAAGUUAAACCCGAGUGUUCCGCGUGUGCAACUGUUUUGCACCCGUUGUAUGUGAACGUUGAGUCUAUCACACCCGAUCAUCAUGUGGUGUCUCGAAACGACGAACUGUCGCAAGAGUGCACAGUCGGGGAGAAAACAAUUUAUCUUGAUAAUUGGUGAGAUAUCACCUUAUAAUGCUACCGUCGUUACUAAGCAAAAUAAGGUGCAUAAAAGGAUUAACAUCACAUGCAAAUCAUAAGUGACAUGAUAUGGCCAUGAACUUGUGCUUCUUGAUCUCCAUCAUCAAAGCACCGACAUGAUCUCCAUCGUCACCGGUGCAGCACCAUGAUCUCCAUCAUUGUGCCGCCAUCGUGGUUGUCGUGCUAUCUAUGCUAUUACUACUAAAGCUACUCCUAGCAAAAUAGUAACGCAUCUACAAGCACAAACAUCAGUUUAAAAACAACCCUAUGGCUCCUACCAGUUGCCGUAGCACCGACGUGCAAGUCGAUAUUUAACUAUUACAACAUGAUCAUGUCAUACAUCCAAUAUAUCACAUCAUGUUGUUGGCCAUAUCACAUGAUGAGCAUACCCUGCAAAAACAAGUUAGAUGUCCUCUAAUUUGUUGUUGCAUGUUUUACGUGGCUGCUAUGGAUAUCUAGUAAGAUCGCAUCUUACCUACGCAAAAACCACAACGGUGAUGCAUAAAUUGCUAUUUAACCUUCUCCAAGGACCACCUUGGUCAAAUCCGAUCCAACUAAAGCUGAAGAAACAGGCACCCACCAGUCACCUUGAUGCAAUCUCAUUGCAUGUUAACGGUGAAACCAGUCUCUCAUAAGUGUACGAGUAAUGUCGGUCUGGGCCGCUUCGAUUCAACAAUACCGCGGAACCAAGAGAAGACUAAGGAAGGAAGCAAAAUAAACAUCAACGCCCACAAACUCCUUUGUGUUCUACUUGAGAUAUCAUCUACGCAUGAACCUAGCUCAUGAUGCCACUGUUGGGGAACGCCGCAUGGGAAACAAAAAAUUUCCUACGUGCACGAAGUCCUAUCAUGGUGAUGAUCAUCCACGAGUGGGAGAACGGAUCUACAUACCCUUUGUAGAUGCACAUCAGGAAGCGUUUAGACAACGCGGUUGAUGUAGUGGUACGUCUUCACGAUCCCACGAACCGUCCCACGAUCCAUCCCGCGAACAAUCCCACUAUCCGUCCCGAUCAAGUACCGAACGGACGGCACCUCCACGUUCAACACACGUACAACUCGAUGACGAUAUCCGCCUUCUUGAUCCAGCAAGAGAGACGGGGAGGUAGAUGAGUUCACCGGAAGCCUAACGGCGCUCCGAUGGUGGUGGUGUUGCUGAUCCUGCAGGGCUUCGCCUAAGCUCCGCAGAAAACCGAUCUAGAGGAGAAACGAAGAAGUAGAGGUGUCUAGAUCUGAAUUUGCCCUUGGCAAAAGUUAUCUCAAAUCAGCCCUAGACCACCCGUAUAUAAAGGUGGAGGGGAGGGGAGGAGGCAGCCUCAAACCCUCAAGGUUUGGCCGAAAUUGGAGGUGGAGGAGUCCUACUCCAAUCCUACUUGGAGUAGGAUUCCUCCUUUUCACUUGGAAACCCUUUCCACCUUUUCCACCUUUGGGUUUUUGCCUCUCAAACCUUAUGGGCCUUAGUGGGAACUUAUUCCAGCCCACCAGGGGCUGGUUUUAUCUCUUCCCACGCCCAUGAGGCCCCUUGGGGCGUGACACCCGUCCCGAUGGUCCACCGCACCCCUCCCGACACUCCCGGUACACUACCGAUGAGCCCGAAACUUUUCUGGUGACCAAAACAGGACUUCCUAUAUAUCAAUCUUCGUUUCCGGACCAUUCCAGAACUCCUCGUGAUAUCCGAGAUCUCAUCCGAGACUCUGAACAUACUUCGAUCACCAGCACCUAUAACUCAACUAUACCGAAAUGUCACCGAACCUUGAGUGUGCAGACCUUGCGGGUUCGGCAACUAUGUAGACAUGACCUGAGACACCUCUCAGUCAAUAUCCAAUAGAGGGACCUAGAUGCCCAUAUUGGAUCCCACAUAUUCCACGAUAAUCUUAUCGGUUGAACCUCUAUGUCAAGGAUUCAUAUAAUCCGGUACAUCAUUCCCUUUGUCCUUCGGUAUGUUACUUGUCCGAGAUUCGAUCGUCGGUAUCCAAUACCUAUUUCAAUCUCGUUACCGGCAAGUCUCUUUACUCGUUCCGUAAUACAAGAUCCCGUGUCUAACAACUUAGUCACAUUGCUUGCAAGGCUUGUUUGUGAUGUUGUAUUACCGAGUGGGCCCCGAGAUACCUCUCCGUCACACAGAGUGACAAAUCCCAGUAUUGAUCCAUGCUAACUCAACUAACAUCUUCGGAGAUACCUGUAGUGCACCUUUAUAAUCACCCAGUUACGUUGUGACGUUUGAUACACACAAAGUAUUCCUCCGAUGUCAGUGAAUUACAUGAUCUCAUGGUCGUAGGAAUAUAUACUUGACAUGCAGAACACAGUAGCAACAAAAUAACACGAUCACAUGCUACGUUCAUAUAUUAGGUCUUCGUCCAUCACAUGAUUCUCACAAUGAUGUGAUCCCGUUAUCAAAUGGCAACACUUGUCUAUGGCUAGGAAACCUUAGCCAUCCUUGAUCAACGAGCUAGUCAACUAGAGGCUCACUAGGGACAGUGUUUUGUCUAUGUAUCCACACAUGUAUUUGAGUUUCCAAUCAAUACAAUUAUAGCAUGGAUAAUAAACGAUUAUCUUGAACAAGGAAAUAUAAUAAUAACUAUUUUAUUAUUGCCUCUAGGGCAUAUUUCCAACAAGAAUAUGGCGAGAUCAGUGGCUGAUGCGAGGAAACACUAAUUCAUUGCUUUCGAGUAGAGGUCGGUGUCAUUUGGAAUGGGUGUGUGAACUACUUGAUCACAAUGGUAAUUGGGAUAUGCAGAGGCUACAACAGUUCUUUUUGCCCGUUGACGUUGCACAAAUUUGCAAGAUAAGACCUUUGCCCCGGUUAGGGGAAGACUUUCUUUCAUGGGCGCCAGAACGGAGUGGAAACUUCUCGGUUAAAAGUGCUUACUGGCUUGCUGCAAAUGAAAUGCUUGGAACAUCUAUUACUUCAUUGAGUUCUGCCUAAGAUAGUAGCAGGGACGUGUGGAAGCUUAUUUGGUCUUGUCCGGCUCCGCCAAAGGUUAUGUCGUUUGCCUGACGAGAAGCGACGAAUUCCCUAGCGACAUGGAAGAACAAGAAGCGGAGAACUUUAGAGGAACGAGACACUUGCCCUAUCUGUGGUAGAUAAGUGGAAGACUCGUUUCAUGUCUUGUGUGCAUGUGAUAAGGCACAUCAGUUGUGGAAAGCGAUGGCGCGGGUCUGGGAGCUGCCUAGACUUACUGAUAUAAAACGGCAUGACGACUGGUUUAUCCAUGUGGUGUGUGAAGCCGAUGAACAGCAGCGUGUCCGGUUACUUAUGAUCCUAUGGAGGAUUUGGCAUGUGAGAAAUGAAGUUGUGCAUUCAAAGCCGGCUCCUCCAGUUGAUGCAUCAGUUCGGUUCCUUGCGAGCUAUUAUGAUGCCUUCGCAAUCUUGAGAGCUGAUCGAGACGCUGAUUACGUCAAAGGCAAGAUGGUUCCUGCCCAUUGCUUUCCAUUACUGAGAGAUGUCGGUGUUGUACCGAUAGACAGCUGUAGCCUUUGGAUUCCCCCAAGCGAUGGAAGAUUGAAGUUAAACCAGUGAUGGAUCUGUAUUAAAAGAGAGUGCUGGAAGUGGCAUGGUCUUGCGGGAUCAUGACGACAACAUUAUCUUCAACGCUUGCAGAUUUCUUUAUGAUUGCAACGGCGUGCUUGAGUCUGAGAUCGUGGCUAUCCGGGAGGGUCUCAGGUUGGCGCUGCAAUGGAGCUCUCUGCCUAUAGAUGUUGAGUCUGAUUGUCUUGAGGCUAUUGCAAUGGUAAAGGACGCGGGGCGCAACUUAUCAAGAUAUGCUUUUCUGAUUGGAGAGAUUAAGCAAAGUAUGGGGAACGUGUCUCUUCUAUUACUCAUAUGUGUCGUUCAUGCAUUGUGUUAGUCAUGCUAUGGCUAGUUUUGGUAGAAGGCAGGGCCGAACCAUGGUUUGGCUCGGCUCGGCUCGAGUUGAAGUCUUAUGUAUUGCCUCACGUUGUAGUCACUAAUGAUUGAGUAAUGUAAGACUUAUUUCGCAAAUACAUGUAAUCGCGAAUUAGUGUUAACACCCCAACUGAAACUGUUUACAAUAUAUUUGACAUAUAAAAAUAUUUCUCGCCUCAUUAAAUGUCCACAGGAAUGUUGUGAUAUGUUUGGCUAGUCAGACAAACUUUUAACUGAAACUGUUUACAAUAUAUUUGACAUAUAAAAUAUAUUUCUUGCCUCAUUAAAUGUCCACGGGAAUGUUGUGAUCUGUUUGGUUAAUCGGACAAACUUUUAGCUAUUUGCAUCCGUGACCCUAUUGAGCUUGUUUGAGGGUAUGCAGGCUUUAGGCCAUCUUUUGUACUUCCUUCGUUUUUAAAUAUAAGUCUUUUAAAAGAUUCCACCACAGAUUAUAUAUGAAUGUAUUAGACGUAUUUUAAAGUGUGAAUUUAUUUAUUUUAAUUUGUAUGUAGUCCAUAGUAAAAUAUCUUAAAAGCCUUAUAUUUAGAGACGGAGGAAGUAUAUUGCUUGGCACCCUAAAUUGCAUCAGUGAGCACUUUCAUGCCAACCAUUGGUUGACUGCAAUGUGCUUUACGGGUUUGCACAUGCAAAUCACCAUUGUUUGGCUAUGCGCAAAUGUGUUAAUAUGCUUUACUGGUUGGAAUGGUGAUUCUAAAUGUGUUUUUGUGGUGCUGGUGCAACUAUUACUAUUUGUUUUUGUGCUUGCUUUGUAGCCAAAUUUCUAUGGAGUGUUUUGCAAUGUACAUUUGGUUAAAUUAUGCUCACGUGGAUGUUAAGAACAAUUUCAUUCCAUGGCUCUCUCCUUUUGACCAUAUUAAGAAAAGGAAUAUUUGUGUGGGUAUUUUUGCAUUGAUGUGAUCUAUUUGAACUUGCAGGAAUGACAUUUGCUUUGAUCGUAAGACAACUAUUGAUCCUUUUGGGAUUAUGUAUAAAACUUGCUACUUUAUCGAUGUCGGCCUAUUUUACAAGCAAACAAUGGAAGUCAACGUUGGGGCGAUUUCUAGAACGGGUAGCAAGUGAUUUCUACAAUGCAUCAAGAGAAUUGAAUCCUAGAUUACUGAGACUAACUGGUGGUUGAUGAUUACAUACUUAGUGAAGCUGAUGUUGCUCUUCUUGUUGCUUCCUUUUAUAGAUUAGUUUUGUUCUUACUCAGUUUCUGCUUAUAAGCACUUUGUAUUUUGGCUUCGGUUUCCUGCUUGAACCUGCUUGUGCUACCGUGGCACUAUAAUUCGGCAGGAAUGAUGCCGAUACAAAGGUGUUAGAUGGGCGAAACAUUUACACAUGGACACAAAAAUGCCCUCUGAGGUUUGUGAGUUUGUAAAAUAUCCACCUUGGUGCUUCUCGGCCUGACGUGUUUCAUCAUUAAAUCGUCAUGGAGGUCCUCGACCCAGCCCACCUAGUCGGGAGAUGACAUGGAGCAUCCCCUAGUCGAGGACAUCAUCACCUAGCAAGGGGACCUUUUCUGUUAAAAAUCUCUUCUUCAGUUAUGUGAAAAAAGUAGGGAAUUGGGAGAUUGUUAGAUUUUGGGAUGGUGGGUGGAUGAUAAACCACUCAAACAAAAUUUACCUAGAUUAUAUGAUAUAUGAUUUAUUAAGAAUAUUAGACUCGGUGCUGUGUUGAACAAAAGCGGGAACAAUUUAAGUUCAGCAGAACUUUAUGGGGUGAUACACUAACACAAUGGAACGAGAUACAAGGUUGUGCUCACAUUAAAUUGAAAGAUGAAAAAGACACUUUAAUGUGGUCCUGGCUACUAAUGCAAAAUAUUUUGUGAAAUCAUAUUAUAACCAACUCAUGAUUAAUGGGUUGAAUUUUCCUUUCAAAUUUCUUUGGAGAAUUAAAAUUCCUCCGAAGAUCAUUUUUUUUGUAUGGCUUGGUGUUAGAAACGGUGUGUUUACUAAAGAUAAUUUGCAUAAAAUGGGUUAGAAUGGUGAUUCUAAAUAUGUUUUUGUGGUGCUGAUGAAUCUAUUGAUCAUUUGUUUUUGCACUGUUGAGUAGCCGAAUUUUUAUGGAGUUUCUUCAAAAAUUCAGAAAAAAACUAUUCUUAGAAUUAUAAAAAUGCACCAACCUUACAAAUCAAACAAGUAAUGCAGAGGAAAAAAAUCACCGGAUUCUAAUUCUCAUAAAGUCAUUGUAACCAAACAUACAAACCCUUAAAGCAUCUCGAGCUGUUCGGCCCCCAGGGGCGUGAAAUAGCACCGCCUGGGGGCAUGCCGGGGAAAUAAAAUCGGCCGGGGGAGGGGGGGGGCUCAGGUUCUCAGUCGGGUCCCCAAAGGUCGCCCCAACUGUUUUAAAAAAAACUCGACCCAAAUUCGGCCAAAACCGACUCAAAUUCGAAGAAAGUUCAUAGUUUUUCAUUGAAAUUUAUACAUAAGUGAAAUAAAAACAUAAUUAAACUACGUAGCCGCCGCCCUUCGCUGCCGCUCGAUGUCACCGCCUUCUACAUAUCGAGAAGCUUCUAGAAAUUGGUGUAGUCACCAUCGUCGUUGUCCUACGCUCUGUCGCAGUCCUUGCUGCACCCCUGCCCUGUGUCGCUGUGGCGAACAUUGUUGGAAGGCACUGACGCCUCCUUGUCGCUGUCAUCGAGGAUGACGAGGGUGCCCUCCUUGCGGCCGCGGCGCCGGGCGGCGAUCUCCUCAAGGGCGCGACGCUGGCGCUCCGUCUCCUCCCGGAGGUAGUCAUCUCACGCCCAUUUAAGGGCGGUCUCGUCAUCGGCGGCCAUGUUCAGGUGCUCCUGCUUGACGGGGAGGAGUCCCGGCUCUGUAUUCGGCUUGACGAGGCGGGAGGAGGCGUCGGGCCCGUUGAUGAUGAUGCCGUUGCUGCGCGUGCGCCGCCCUAGCAGUGUCUCUCGCAGCUCCGGCUUGACAGGGAGGAGCGUCGGUGACCCAGAGGAGCGGGAGCCGAACGAGGAGGAUGACGCCGCCUCCAUCCGCCUCGGCGUUCAGGAGUUGCUGCAACAUCGGGAAAAGGCGGGUGGCGGUGGGUACUCGUACCACGACGAUUUUCCGCUCUCGAUGUGCUCGAGGGCAACCUUCAAUGAGCGGUCGGGGACGCCCCACCAUUCGGCGCCCCUCGGAGUUGUGGUGGCCGCGUGGUUCGACCCCGUUGGUGGCGGCGAGCUGGUCGGCGUGCCGGCGUUCGAAGUACGCCGUCCACAGCGUGUUGUUAUCGGGGGCGUACCUCGGCAGGUUGCGCAAGCUCUCCGGCAGCGACGACCGGAUGCGCGCGAUCUCCGCCCGCCGGUCAGGUCUAGAGGGCGGCGGUGGCACCGGGACUCCGUCGGCGCUCAACCUCCAUGAUCCCCGCACCCGCAUGUCUGGUGGCGCCGGGUAGUCCGCCUCGUAGAGAAGGCGGGCCUCGUCCUCAUGAAGGUGACGGUGGCCGAAGCCAUUGGCUGCGGCUCCGUUGUCGGGGAAGCGUUCGAUCAUUUUUGGGAAGAAAGAGGGAGAGGAGGCACCGUUGACGAAGAAGGAGAGGAGAGGGCGUCGAGGACGAGAUUUUGGCGAGAGGGUUGUGUGGCCACCGAUGGGGAGAGUGUUGGAAAUAUGCCCUAGAGGCAAUAAUAAAAUGGUUAUUAUCAUAUUUCCUUGUUCAUGAUAAUCGUCUAUUGUUCAUGCUAUAAUUGUAUUAACAGGAAACAGUAAUACAUGUGUGAAUAAAUAGAUCACAAUGUGUCCCUAGCAAGCCUCUAGUUGGCUAGCUCGUUAGUCAAUAGAUGAUCAUGGUUUCCUGAUCAUGGGCAUUAGAUGUCAUUGAUAACGGGAUCACAUCAUUGGGAGAAUGAUGUGAUGGACAAGACCCAAUCCUAAGCAUAGCACUAGAUCGUAUUGUUCGUAUGCUAAAGCUUUUCUAAUGUCAAGUAUCUUUUCCUUCGACCGUGAGAUUGUGCAACUCCCGGAUACCGUAGGAUUGCUUUGGGUGUAUCAAACGUCACAACGUAACUGGGUGAAUACAAAGGUGCACUACGGGUAUCUCUGAAAGUGUCUGUUGGGUUGGUACGAAUCAAGAUCGGAAUUUGUCACUCCGUGUGACGGAGAGGUAUCUCUGGGCCCACUCGGUAGAACAUCAUCAUGAGCUCAAUGUGACUAAGGAGUUAGUCACACGAUGACGUGCUACGGAACGAGUAAAGAGACUUACCGGUAACGAGAUUGAACAAGGUAUUGGUAUACCGACGAUCGAAUCUCGGGCAAGUUCUAUACCGACAGAAAAAGGGAAUCGUAUACAUGAUUGAUUGAAUCCUUGACAUCGUGGUUCAUCCGAUGAGAUCAUCGUGGAGCAAGUGGGAGCCACCAUGGGUAUCCAGACCCCGCUGAUGGUUAUUGGCCGGAGAGGCGUCUCGGUCAUGUCUGCCUGUCUCCCGAACCCGUAGGGUCUACACACUUAAGGUUCGGUGACGCUAGGGUUAUAGGGAAUUGUUAUACGAGGUUACCGAAAGUUGUUCGGAGUCCCGGAUGAGAUCCCGGAUGCCACGAGGAGCUCCGGAAUGGUCCGGAGGUAAAGAUUGAUAUACAGGACGGAUGAUUUCGGAUACCGGAAGUGUUUCGGGCAUCACCGGUAACGUACCGGGACCACCGGAGGUGGCCCCGGGGGACCACCGAAGGGGGGCAACGACCCCGGGAGGUAAGAUGGGCCAAGUGGGGGUGGGAACCAGCCCCUAGGUGGGCUGGUGCGCCUCCCCACUCAGCCCAAUGCGCAGGGGAGAGAAAAGGGGGGGGGACCCUAAGCCAGGUGGGCCUAAGGCCCACCAGGUGGUGCGCCACCCCCUCCUCCCCCCUCUGGCCGCCGCACCUCCCAUCUGGGGGGGCUGCCGCACCACCUAGGGUGGGAACCCUAGGGGUGGCACCCCUCUCCCCUUCCCCUAUAUAUAUCGGGCACUUUUGGCCAUUGAGAGAGAGGCUUUUCCCUCUCCCUCGACGCAGCCGUGCCCUUCUUCCUCCUCCUCUCUCCCGGUGCUUGGCGAAGCCCUGCCGGGAGACCUCGUCUCUCCAUCGACACCACGCCAUCGUGCUGCUGGAGUUCUUCCCCAACCUCUCCCUCCUCCUUGCUGGAUCAAGGUGCGGGAGACGUCACCGGGCUGCACGUGUGUUGAACGCGGAGGUGUCGUAGUUCGGCACUAGAUCGGAAUCGCUGCGAGUACGACUCCAUCAACCGCGUUCUAGCAACGCUUCCGCUUAGCGAUCUUCAAAGGUAUGAAGAUGCUCUUACCCCUCUCUCGUUGCUGGUCUCUCCAUAGGAAGAUCUGAAUGUGCGUAGGAAAAUUUUGAAUUUAUGCUACGUUACCCAACAGAGAGGACACCUUAUAUAGCUACGGGUGGGCGAGCACGCAGAGCGGCGCCAUGUGAACGUGUGACAGGAACGGACGGAACGUGCGUCGCCGGGACGCGCGUCGCUGCACCUUCAUUGCGCCGUCCGUGAAUCUAUGAAAGGCUGACCGACAGUGCAGCCUUCGCAUUUAUUUGUGUGGGAAACGAGGCAAUGGGACGACGACCGCGCGUGUUAGUUGCUGACUCGGGAGAUCCAGAGUUUUUUCGCGUCAAAAAUGUUUUCACCGGCGCCCCCGGACGAACCUAGCACGCUGAGUUCGGCUUAAUUUCGGUCCUAAUCGACGAAAAACGGACUUGUGAAAAUGCGACUGAACCCUUUUUUUUCUCCCGACGAUGAACUCUUUUUUGGCCGGAAGAGCCUAUUGGGGUGCGGCUAGACAUAUGCUUUUAUCUUAUGCUCGAACCUGCUUGUGCUGCCGCGGCGUUACGAUUCGGCAGGAAAGAUGAUGAUUCAGAGCUGUCAGAUUGGUGAAACAUUUACACAUGACCAGAAAAAUGCGCUCUGAGGGUUGUUAGUUUGGUACUUAAUUUGUACACGUUCAUCAUAAAAAGGGGAAUACCUAAUUAUUCAUUUUCAUUAUUAGCAUUGGAGAGUACUUAUAGCGUCGGAAAAAAGCUGAGAAAGCCAAGAAUGUGCCGUACAUGUACCAAAAUACUUGUAAGGACCAUCGCAAAACUUCAUCCGGCGUGCAAGCUACGAUAAGGGUUGUGUGGGAGCAUGAGGUGCAUGUGGUGGGAGAGACCGAUCACGGAAGGAUUUACCCAUGCGCGCGUACGUAUCCUCUCCUCUGUUCAUCGUCUACAUCUCUAAGGACAACUCCAACGGAUCGAUCCAAAUUAACAGUGAUUUCAUCCGUUUAGGUCGGCCACGCGGACAUAAACGUCCGCUUCCACAAAUGGGUCGGCUCGCGCGUCCAACGCUGAUCGGACCCAUUUUUUGCCGGCGAGAAAAAAAAGGCGGAGCACAAUAGAUACCUGCAACCUCGGUAGCCACCAAGUGCCCGCUCCCUAGGGUUCGUCCCACCCUCCCCCAGUCGUCGGCGCCGCUGUUGGCCUUCCUAGGGCCCCCGCCGCCGCCGGUCGUCCCCGCCCCCUCCCCAUAUCCCCCUCCCAGAUCCGCCCCAUGCCGUCUCCCCGGGAGGUGGCCGGGGCGGCGUGAGCCCCUCCCCUCUUCGGCCUCCCUCCAUCCCGUUCCCUCCCUGCCGCCGCCGAUGGUCGCCCCUGACUCUUGACCGGGUGGUGUUGGUGGCGGCGGGAGUGCCUGUCCCCUCGCGGGCGGCUCCCUGCCCGGGGCAUGGGGGCGGCGGUGGUGCUCCUCGGCUCGGAGACGGUCCGGCGACCCGGCAGCAGUGGCCGGCGGCGCAUGAGGUGGUGGUGUUGCCCUUUGGCGAUGAGAUGGCGUGGUGACGCAGGUUGGCCGGCGACGCGCCCCCGGCCCAGAUCGGGGCCCUGUGGGCCCUAUCUGUGUCCUAGAGGGCCGGCUCCCGGCGUGGCUUCAUCGUCGUCUAUGUGGUCAGGAGGAGGAGCAGCUCGGACGGGGGGCGACGACGCCGAUGGCGCGCCUGCUGCAGUGCGAUGGUGGGAGCUUUACGGGCGUGGAGGGCCUGGCCGGGCCUGUGGGCCCACGGGCCUGGUAUGCUCCUGCUAUUGUGCCCGUCGGCUACCGUCGUCGACGGUGGAGGUUGUACCCUCCCGCGUGCCGACGGUGCUGUGGUCCCUAGUCCCGGCUCCUAUUCCCCGUUGUGCAUGCCUCACUUCAUGAUGCCGUGGUGAGACGGUGUGGAGGCUUCAUCACCGCGGUGGCGCAAGAUGGUGGGCGGUUUGGUGGCAGGCUCUGGAGCAUCCGAGGUGAAGGUUGGGAUCGGGGGAAACCCCUGUCGGCCUGGCCGACACCGACGCGGCGAUGCCGGCAGGUGCCGCCGGACCUUCCUGGAGGGCGUCGGGAGCGACCCUUCCUCUUGCCUCGUCACGUACCGGGGAAAACCCUUGGCAGCAGCGUCGUCAUCGUCGCGGUCCUUCUUGGAGGUGUUGAUUGGUACCGAUGCUUCGGAGCCUUGGAGCUUGGUGGGAGAUCUUCGGUGGGCGCAGUGGUCGUGAAGCGUCUUCGUUUCCAUCGAUCCGCCGUUGUCGGCAUUUUUCUCUUGUCGUUUCUCUUUCGUUUCUUUUGGGUGUGAUCGUGCUGCUUCCGCCCCAGCACCUACUUGAUUGUAAUCUGGAUGAUGUAUGAUGUACUUUAUCUAUAAAGUGGGGCAAAAACUUGUUUCGAAAGAAAAAAGAGAGGCAUAAUACAUAAUUAAACAUUAAAGCCGGCCACGAGGGCCGACGAUAGUCCAUGCAUCGCUCGCAUUACACUAAAUAAAAAUAAAAACACUAGAACUGCAUGCAUGCAGCCCUAGGCGUCCUCGUCGUCGUCGUCGUCGGGACCGAUGAGGUCGACCAUGGUAGGCGGAGGGCCGGCCCAGGGAAACGCCAUGUUUCAUAGCGCUGCGGCCUGCUUCUCCGUCGAGUGUGGAGGUGGCGGUGGCAGCGCAGCAGCACGGAGGCGUUCCUCCUCCUCCGCCUUCGGGCGUUGGUCCUCCCUACCUUAGCCGCGGGCCUUCUUCGCGCUCCUCAAAAUACUUGUAAGGACCAUCGCAAAAGGAGAAACACUUGUAGAGAAACUUCAUCCGGCGUCCAAGCUACGGCAAGGGCUGUGUGGGAGCACGAGGUGCAUGUCGUGGGAGAAGGAUUUACACAUGCGCGCGUACGUAUCCUCUCCCCUGUUCAUCGUCUAUAGCUCUAAGCGAUGGUACACCUGUGACUGAGUAAUAGUAAUAACCAAAUACUCGUAACAGAGAAUUACCGCCGUAGUUUCGACCGUGAAGUUGUGUUGGGUGCCUGUGCCUGUGGCAGUCAGUGAUCUGACGACUCCAGCGCUAGCCGUGGAGCUACUGCCAGGUCGCGCCCGUACGAGCCGGAGCCGGAGCCGGCAGCCAUGCGUGUAUCUCGUCAUCCACACGUCGUGACUCACCGCACACGCGGCGUUCUCCUCGCCCUGGUCAGGGGCGACGGAAGCUCCGCCCCGCGCUUGUUGGCUGACGGUGAAACGUUCAACGUGCACGAAGCGCGCUGGUUACCUGUGCCUGUGCCUGUGCCGGUGCCGGUCAACAUCACCGUCCGAGUCGCCCCGCACUGCGUGGAGUUCGACGCUGGGAGGGGGAACAGCAACACACCCUAGUCUCCUAGGAUGUGUUUGGCCGGAGGAUCAUUUUGGAGCAUCUACAGUUUAAUAAACUUAUAAAUCUGGCCCAUAUCCAUUUUGAACCUUAUUACAAUGUUGCUUCAUUUAAAUAAAAUGGGGCAGGGAGGAGGAAAACCCUUUCAUCCAAAAAAUAAAAUAAAAAAUUAAAUCUUAUUUUUUCAUAUGUGCAACCAUACUUUUUAUAUUUUUUCCUCAUAUGUCCGACCACUUGCAUGUAAUUGGUGAAGAAGAAGAAGAGAAAGAAAGAAAAGAAUGAAUAAAGAAGGAGAAAAUAUGGCUGAGGGUGGGGGUCGCGUCUUACAUGGCGCGCCCGGAAGCCAUCAUAUCAUCCAUAUUUGAGAUGGUUAUGAGGGGUGUCGGUCAGUCCGGGUGUUUGAGAUGAGUAUGAGGGGUCUGGCUGGAUCGAUUUUUUGUGACCGGUCACGGAGCGGGCUGUGUGGCGUUUGAGGCGGAUUUAAGAGGUCCGGCCGCAGAUUCUCUUAUAGUUGUUUUCUUUGAUAUAUACUAUUGAGUAAAUGCAUUCACGGUGUGUUUGCUAAGGUGUAUAUAACUGAACCAGGCCCGUAAGGGAUGAAAAAUGCUCGUUUGGUUCCGUGUAAGGUGGUAUAUGUCGCACGUGCACCAUACUUAAAACAUCCUAUAGCCUGGAUUGAUGGAAACGCUUGAAUUGGAAAUUUCGGUGAGACAGACCGAAUCGGGCGCAUAAACUGAUCCCAACAUAGGGCGCGGUGCAUGGGGGAUUCAGACAGAGAUGGCAAGAGACGAAAAUCAAGGGAGACGGAAUGACGUGAAAUAUACCAUCCGCCCUUCCCCAAUUUACUCGCUCACCCGUGGCUCUAGGACAAGCCCUUCUUCUGUUCUUGGCACCGAUGGCGGUGGCGAGUCAAAUCUACGGUUGCAGUGUUGGUGGCAGCUGCUUUUCCCCUUCUUCUUCGUCACCGUCCAACCAUCCUCGUCUUAGUCAUGCCCCCGACCCUGAAGCUGGUAAGCACUCUCCCAUUUCAUUGUUGAACGUACCAUGGAUGUCGCUUAGGUUGUGGAUACACCCAUGAAGUUUGUAGUUCAGGUAGCAUCGCUGAUAGUUGUAGCUCAGACCUGGAUUCUGUUGAUCCAUAAGUGAGUUGUUCAUCGGAAUGAAAAGCCUCUCAUCCGUUAUGAUCCGAUUUUAAUUCCGGACCGGGAGAGGAUAUUGAAUUUGAGCUACAUCUACAACUACAAGGAGACAUAGGCUCUGUGGAUGCUUCGAAUGAGAAGAGUGCUUUUCGCAAGGCUUGUGUAGACGUUUAGACGCACGUGGUCGCUACAAGAUAGCAUCCACAUACACCACGGUGGAAAAGCAAAUAGACAUGUUCCUCCAUGUUGUUGGUCAUAACCAGAGGUUCAGGGUUAUGCAGAACGCAUUCAGGAGAUCAAUGGAGACCAUUUUCACAUACUCCAGGCAAGUGUUUUAUGCUUUGGGGGAACUCACCGGAUAGAUGAUUCGCACACCAACUGCCCGAACUACUAGAAAGAUUCGCACUAGCCCAAGAUGGUAUCCAUAAUUCAAGGUGAGCACUGACAGUAUGUAGUUCAUGCAUUGAUAAGUUGUUAUUGUUCUACGCUAGCCAUAACAUCAUCUUGUAUUGUCAUUUCAGGAUUGCAUUGGGGCAAUUGAUGAUACUCAUGUGACUACCAGAGUGUCGAUAUCACAAUCUACAUCAUACAAAGGGAGGAAGCACUACACAAGUCAGAAUGUGCUAGCUACUCUUGACUUCGAUCCAAAGUUCACAUAUGUGUUGACUCAAUAGGUGCACAUGAUGCUAACAUUCUAACACUAGUAGGAAAAACAUUAUAGGUAGGACCCCGUUAGUAGCACUGGAAUAUAGCAUGCGCUGCUGCUACUUAGGAGUAGCGCUCGAAUUGUAAAAAACACUACUGUUAAACAGGACCCAACGAGCCCACCGAUGGUAGUAGUAGUAGCAGCACACCCUUGUAAAAAGCGCUACUGCUAAGUAGAAUAGCAGUAGCGCUCGGCGAGAAUCAGCACUACUGCUAUUGGGCCCCACUUAGGAGUAGCGCUGCCCUAGAAAAGUGCUACUACUAAUACCAAUAGCAGUAGCACCCUUUGGAAAGCAGCGCUACUGCUACGUGUGGCUGGUGGUAGCUUUUCACCCACACCCCUCUCCCCCCCUUCCUCUCCCCUCCUUUCUCCUCUCCUCUCUCUAAGUUACUUCCCCACCAUUGUUGCCCUUCUUUUCUCUUCCUUAUACCUCUCUUCUCUCCCUAUUAAUGCCCCCUCCACCCUAAUUCUCCUCCAUAAAUGACCUCUUCUAACUUUAUCUUCCACAUUUAUUUGGCUUUUCCCUCCUUCCAUACAUAUAGAUCUAGCUAGAUCAUCUCUCUCCCUCUCCAUUAGUUAGCUAGAGUCAUAUCUCCUCAAAACAACUAGAUCUAGCUACUUAUUUAGCCCUGCACAAUCUCUCUUGGGUUAUAGGUGAGUAAAAAGUUGUGCAUUUCAGUAAUGGGAAUAUGUGUGUUUGCGAUAUGAAGGGAUUUGUGUGAGUGACAUGCCCCGUGAGUUGCUUAUGUUUUGCUUAAAUGUGGAUUUAUUUCCAUUUUGGCGAAUUUCGAGCAAACUCGAUAUGUCCUAUUUUUAGGCAAGGUUAUGCCAAAAUUUUACAUGACUUUGAUGCAUGCAUGUAUUUUGUUUAUAACCCUUUUGCUUGUUAUACUAUGCAACCAUGAAGGUGAGUGGAAGGAAGGUGUGGAGCGAUACUUGCAAUCCACGGUGAUGGACAUUUAUGCAAAUAAAUGAACUGGGAUUAGAUGUCCGUGUACAAGAUGCAAAGAAGGAGUAACUUUGGAUCCUUUUGAUCGUGGCAGUUUGAAGGCCCAUUUGUUGAUCAAUGGUUUCAUGGAUGGCUAUACUCGGUGGAUAAGUGAAGAUAUGAUGAGGACGUCCACAUGGCACAGAAUAAUGACAUGGGACUAGACGAAGAGAUGACUGAUCGACACGAAGACGAUGGCGCCAGACACGGCAGCGGCAAAGAGCCUGGACACGACGGCAGGAAAGAGUCCUAACACGGCGGCGGGGAAGAGUCUAAACGCGGCGGUGGAGAAUAUUCUAGACAUGGCGGGGAAGAGGCGACGGACAUGCCGCAGUCUUUGAUGCUACUAAGUUUAGUCAUGCAUGACCCUCAUGUUCGAGACCUCCUUCGCAAGAGUACGACUAGUGACAAAGUUGCUUCUAGAGAGGAGUCCAAGAUGGCACAACUUGAAGUAGACUCGAAGACUCCAUUAUAUGACGGUUGCGAUCCUGAGGUGACCCGCUUGAGUUUCACGCUCGAACUUCUAAAGACGAAGGCCAAAAACAAAUGGACAAACAAAAGGCUCGAUGAUCAUUUGAAGUAUCUACAUAAUAAAGUUCUUCCCGCGGGGAACGUGUGUCCUAUUAGUGUCGAGGAGGCCAAGAAAAUCGUUUUCCCUCUUGAUCUGCUGCACAUUAGAUACCAUGCUGUUGGAAAUAUGCCCUAGAGGCAAUAAUAAAUUAUUUAUUAUUAUAUUUCCUUGUUCAAGAUAAUCGUUUAUUAUCCAUGCUAUAAUUGUAUUGAUUGGAAACUCAAAUACAUGUGUGGAUACAUAGACAAAACACUGUCCCCAGUGAGCCUCUAGUUGACUAGCUCGUUGAUCAAAGAUAGCUAAGGUUUCCUAGCCAUAGACAAGUGUUGUCACUUGAUAACGGGAUCACAUCAUUAGGAGAAUCAUGUGAUGGACAAAGACCUAUAAUAUGAACGUAGCAUGUGAUCGUGUCAUUUUGUUGCUAUUGUGUUCUGCAUGUCAAGUAUAUAUUUCUAUGACCAUGAGAUCAUGUAAUUCACUAACAUCGGAGGAAUACUUUGUGUGUAUCAAACGUCACAACGUAACUGGGUGACUAUAAAGGUGCACUAUAGGUAUCUCCGAAGAUGUCAGUUGAGUUAGCAUGGAUCAAGACUAGGAUUUGUCACCCCGUGUGACGGAGAGGUAUCUCGGGGCCCACUCGGUAAUACAACAUCACAAACAAGCCUUGCAAGCAAUGUGACUAAAGAGUUAGCCACGGGAUCUUGUAUUACGGAAUGAGUAAAGAGACUUGCCGGUAACGAGAUUGAAAUAGGUAUUGGAUACCGACGAUCGAAUCUCGGGCAAGUAACAUGCCGAAGGACAAAGGGAAUAGUAUACGUGAUUAUAUGAAUCCUUGACAUAGAGGUUCAACCGAUAAUAUUAUCGUGGAAUAUGUAGGAUCCAAUAUGGGCAUCCAGGUCCUGCUAUUGGAUAUUGACUGAGAGGUGUCUCAGGUCAUGUCUACAUAGUUCCCGAACCUGCAAGGUCUGCACACUUAAGGUUCGGUGACUUUUCGGUAUAGUUGAGUUAUAGGUGCUGGUGACCGAAGUUUUGUUCGGAGUCCCGAAUGAGAUCCCGGAUGUCACGAGGAGUUCCGGAAUGGUUGGGAAACAAAGAUUGAUAUAUAGGAAGUGGGUAUUUGGAUUCCGGAAGAUUUUCGGGCACUACCGACAGUGUACCGGGAGUGACGAAUGGGUUCCGGGGGCCCACCAGGUGGGCCCACCACGCCCCAAGGGUUCCACAUGGUAUUAUUGGAUGCGCAAGAAAGGUUAUUGGGCUGACAAGUCGUCCAAGGAAAGCCCAUAAGGAAAAAGGUGGAAAAUCCAAAAGAGGUGGACAAAUUGGGAAGGAGUCAUAAUCCAAGUGGAAUUGGAGGAGGACUCCUCUCCUCCUUGCGCCAAAGAGAGAAAAAAGGGGCAGCCACGUGACAGCCACCUCCCUCCUCGCCUCCUAUAUAUACUAAGGGUUUUUGAGGAUUUUGGACAACAGAUUUUUGCCACGUGCAAACCCGAAACCUCUAGUUCUUCGUUUCACCUCUAGAUUAGAUUUCUGCGGAGCUCGGGCAGAGCCCUGCAGGAAUAGAUCGACACCACCACCACCCGGGGAGCUGUCACGCUGCUGGGGUCUCUACUUCCUCUUCGUUUCUCUUGCUGGAUCAAGAAGCCGGAGAUCGUCAUCGAGCUGUACAUGUGCUGAACGCGAAGGUGUCGUCCGUUCGGUACUUGAUCGGGACAUAUCGUGGGACGGUUCGUGGGCUGACCAUGAAGACAUACCACUACAUCAACCGCGUUGUCUAACGCUUUCCGUUGUGCAUCUACAAAGGGUAUGUAGAUCCGUUCUCCCUCUCAUAGAUGAUCAUCACCAUGAUAGGACUUCGUGUGCGUAGGAAUUUUUUUGUUUCCAAUGCAACGUUCCUGUCACGCCCAAGAUGCGACCCUAUCCUCAAUUUGGCACGAAGGCCUCGUCAGGGAUAGAAGCGCAUCUCGUCGUGUCGCAAGAAUGGAUAUCGUUACAAGUACAUGUACUAACAAGAAGAGAUAUAUAAAGAGUUGGCUUACACUCGCCACAAGCUACAUCAGAGUCACAUCAGUACAUUACAUAAUCAUCAAGAGUAAGAGCAGGGUCCGACUACGGACGAAAAUAAAUGACAAAAUAAGAACGACGUCCAUCCUUGCUAUCCCAGGCUGCCGGCCUGGAACCCAUCCUAGAUCGAUGAAGAAGAAGAAGAAGAAGCAAUUCCAAAUGAACAAUCAACGCGCUCGCGGCACGUAACCUUUACCUGUACUUGCAACUGGUGUUGUAGUAAUCUGUGAGCCACAGGGGACUCCGCAAUCUAAUUUCCAAAGGUAUCAAGACUAGCAAAGCUUAAUGGGUCAGGCAUGGUUAAGUGGUGGGGUUGCAGCAGCGGCUAAGCAUAUAUUUGGUGGCUAAACUUACGAGUACAAGAAAUAAGAGGGGGAAGAUCUACGCAUAACGGACGUGAACUACUGAUGAUCAAAUGAAUGAUCCUGAACACCUACCUACAUCAGACAUAACCCCACCGUGUCCUCGAUCGGAGAAAGAACUCACGAAAGAGACAGUCACGGUUACACACACAGUUGGCAAGUUUUAAUUAAGUUAACUUCAAGUUAUCUAGAACCAGUGUUAAACAAAGUUUCCACAUUGCCACAUAACCGCGGGCACGGUUUUCGAAAGAUUUAACCCUGCAGGGGUGCUCCAACUAGUCCAUCACAAAUUACCACAAGCCGCAUAGAAAUCCUCAAUCACGAAGCUCGCGAUCUCGUCAGAUUCCCAAGUGGAAAACCUCAACUCUGAGAUUACCCAAAGCAUGACCGGAAUCCCGUUGCACAAGAUAUCUCGUCAAAGGUAAAACUAAUCCAGCAAGGCCGCCCGACGUGUCGACGAUCCCGAUAGGAGUCGCGUACCUCGUUCUCAGGACACGACGGAUGGGUCACACUAGGAGAUACCAAACCUCAGGUUGCCCCGCGAUGGCCUCGUAGUCUGCCAAUUUGGACCAACACUCAUGAGGAGCACUGGCCCGGGGGUUGAUUAAAUUAUCCUCGGGGUCCGGAAAGUCCCUAUGCAAUUUUAUUAGGUGUUUAGGCAAAUGUAGUACCAAAGUUGGGCCUUGCCAGACCAGCUUUAAACUAAAACGAAUUAUCAAGGGGGUCCCCAUAACAACCCCGAUUGUGUUAGGAGCGCUCAAUUAUGGAACAUAACACCGGUAGCCGGAAACUAAGGGGGCAAAGGUGGAACAAAACACCAGGCUAGAAAGGCCGAGCCUUCCACCUUUUACCAAGUAUAUAGGUGCAUUAAGUUAAGUAGCAUUUCAAUAUGGUGAUAUAACAAGGAACCCGUGCUUUCACAUGGAAGCAAUGCACCUGCAACUAGCAACGCUAACACAGGGUUAAGCAAGCGGUAACAUGGCCAAUCAGUGGUUUGCUAGGUCGAACAGGUUGAAGGUCAACAUGGCAUGGUUGAGAGGCUGAUAUUUAACAUGUGGUAGGCAACGAGACAUAAACGGUAGCAACGGUAAAACUAGCAUGGCAAAGAUAGUAAUGGUAUCUGGGGAAAUGAUCAUCUUGCCUGAGAUCCCGCUUGGAAGAAGAACAACUCCGUGAAGCAGACGAACCGACGUAGUCGAACGGGUCCUCACAAUCCGGCACGCUGCGGAACUCUAUCGAGACGAAGCAAACCGAAAACACAAAUCAACACACGGAAUUCGCCCUANNNNNNNNNNNNNNNNNNNNNNNNNNNNNNNNNNNNNNNNNNNNNNNNNNNNNNNNNNNNNNNNNNNNNNNNNNNNNNNNNNNNNNNNNNNNNNNNNNNNAUAUAAAAAAUCUAGCUCCAGCAAUUUAGUGCAUGUCUCUGACUAUGGUUUUAAGAACUAAUUGCAACAAAAAUUGUAUUUGUAAAGAAUUGUAUUUCCUGAAGCCCAGUGGAUGUGUGGCACGCCUCCUUGAUUCUAGAUUGUCCCUCCAUUUUGGAAAUUAAUUCCGAAAUGUUGAGAGGCAACCUUUUGUGAUACAAAGCUCAAUAAAUAGAGGGUGGGGGUAGUAUCCAAGAACUAGGUAGAUUGUGUGUUGAGCACAAGUGAUGACUUUUAGGGGGGGGGGGGGGGGGGGGAGGAGGGGGGGGAUGAUAUCCAAGAACUAGGUGGUUUGUGUUUUAAGCACAGGCGAUAAGUUGUAAGUGAGAUUAUGUCAAUGCAAAUAAACGCUUCACAUCGAAUGUAUAGGAUUUAUGUUAAUUUGACACCAAACAGCAAACACAUGUGUACUUAAUAUAUAGAACUAGGAUCGAACAGACAUUUACGGUCUGAGGCUAUGCUAAUUUUACACCAGUGCAACAAUUAUGCUCCCUCCCUUAGCCUACGAUGAGAUUUGANNNNNNNNNNNNNNNNNNNNNNNNNNNNNNNNNNNNNNNNNNNNNNNNNNNNNNNNNNNNNNNNNNNNNNNNNNNNNNNNNNNNNNNNNNNNNNNNNNNNUAUACAUUAACAGUUCUUCGAUUCCAUGGGGUGUGGAAGCCUAAGAUCCACUGGAAGGGCAUAAAUGGAAUGCAACCGAGGGAAGCAGCGUAUACAUUAACAGUUCUUCGAUUCCAUGGGGUGUGGAAGCCUAAGAUCCACUGGAAGGGCAUAAAUGGAAUGAUAAGUGGGUUCAUAAACAGAAAACGCUACGCUUCCCUGUCGAAUCAAAUUGUCACCCAACCCAACUUGGGCCUAUCUUCUCUGGCCUUCAGGGCGUCGGAUUCUGACAGCCACGGCCAAGAAUAUAUGCUACAUCUACCUGCAAAAGCACAAAUAAUAGGAAGAUUCUUAAUCUUGGCGUGCAGCAGCGACAACAAAAUCAUUAUCAGGUCAGGGCUGUCCACGCCUCCACGGUGAUACAUGCUACCUGAUUUUUUGAUCAAAAACAGUUGUAGCAACUAGCAAGCAGGCUUGAGAUUGAGAAGAAGCAUAUAUAUAUUCUCCCAAAAGUUUGCGGCGCCGGCCACUAGCUGCAUCCUGCAUAUCUGUAAAUAUACAACUUGCACAUGUUAGAACCUUCAGCAGCUCCAACGGAGCUGGUCAAAGGCGNNNNNNNNNNNNNNNNNNNNNNNNNNNNNNNNNNNNNNNNNNNNNNNNNNNNNNNNNNNNNNNNNNNNNNNNNNNNNNNNNNNNNNNNNNNNNNNNNNNNUCCCCCCCUAGAAUCGUCCCUGCCGCGGACGCAUCCCUCCUCUCCAUUUUUGGCUAAGCCGAUGUCCAGAUGAAUCUUCGAUAUUCCCACUCCUGGAGACCUCCAAGUUUGGAAGGGGUGGUGGAAGUUACUUAUAUGCACCGGCAGAAUUGGGCCCUAGGCAACCAGGUGAAGCAUAGCUAUUUUUUCUUCCUAUUAACUACCAACAUUUCUAUAUUGGCCUGGGGUUAAGCACACCCAACAGUGCCGAACCUCAGCUCCCUUUCUAAUGCACAAACACUCCCGUCACCCAGAUAACGACGUAAAAGGGUGUUUCAACGCGGACCCUCAUUUCUCCCCUAUAUGUCUAGACCUGAUAUCCAGACACUUUUGGACUUCCAACGCUAUUCCUCAAUUGUUCGAGGACCGUACUGGACAUCCAAACUCCCCCACUCCAUGCCAAAUUGAGGGAAGGAACAUGGUAGUUCGGAUGAUCCUCGUGGACCACGUCUCCCCACAACGCACGUCUCUCUACUCAUCUCUUUUUGUUCUCAGUCAAUGUCCUGCCGAUUGUCUAUCACAUUCCGUAGUCCAAAAUAUGAGGGGUACCGUUGUAGAACGUCAGCCGGUUGGCUAUCUGUGGACACGUCCGUGGACAUUUGAGGGCGCUUUUUAAGGAUAGCGGUGAAGGUGUCUAACACUAUAAGACAUCAACACACAUGAUUGGAGUCAUGCAACCAAAUCUUCUACUCCUACAAGUCAGUCGUUGGUGUCGUCUCCCUCGCUCCCCGACUCUUCANNNNNNNNNNNNNNNNNNNNNNNNNNNNNNNNNNNNNNNNNNNNNNNNNNNNNNNNNNNNNNNNNNNNNNNNNNNNNNNNNNNNNNNNNNNNNNNNNNNNUGAUCCGGGGGACGGGAGACGUUUGAAGCUUGAAUGACUGAGACUGAAAGUGAAGGCGCAGCAGAGGCAGGCAGCAUUAGUAGUAAGUAGUAAGUAAGUAGCAGUGGAACAAAGUAAUAGUCGUUCGUUUUUCCCCUGUAAUAAAUAAGAGGCUGUGUGUUGAGGUAAAGAAAGUGGCAGCGAGCAAACAAACUCAAACUCCCGGGGGUUGUUGGUGUAAAUAAAACUCUUUGUCUAGACUUGUGAAAUUUUCAGAGGGUUUUUCCCGCUGCCUCUGUCGACCGACAUUGUCACUUUCGAGUGGUGGUUGCUUUAUCUAUGAAAUGGGGCGAAAGCCUAUUUACCAACUUCCGUUGCGGGGUGCCGCCAUCUUCGAAGGUGGAAAUGGCCAGAUACCGUGAG